AAAACUUUCAACAACGGAUCUCUUGGUUCUGGCAUCGAUGAAGAACGCAGCGAAAUGCGAUAAGUAAUGUGAAUUGCAGAAUUCAGUGAAUCAUCGAAUCUUUGAACGCACAUUGCGCCCUCUGGUAUUCCGGGGGGCAUGCCUGUUCGAGCGUC
rnacentral:rRNA from 1 species